rnacentral:lncRNA from 1 species
AUGAAGGAAUUACCUUAAUUUUCUUUACUAGACCUACUGCAGUAAUUCCCAUGAGCCUCAGACAAGGUCCAGGAUUCACAUUGUGCCAUGCACUGCAAAAAUAAAGGACAAAAGCCCUUGUCACAGUCUGGAGGCCAUUUGCAUCUCAGGGUGUAACUUGGCCCCAAACCUAGAACUUAAUUAGCAUUGAUGUCGAUGAGCUGUGAGGGAGAAUGGAAUCUGGUCCAUCCUUCCACAGCUGCACUGGCUUUGCAAUGUGAAAAACCAAGAUGAGCCAAAAGUGAUUAAGAAAUUAUUUUUGAAACUGGAGUCAGCACAUGUAACCACAGUUAGACAACAGGGAUCAGCAGAUCUGCAUUGUAAGGAGGUUUGAGUCUUACAUUGCUGCUUUAAAAGUAAAGUUCCCCCAUGAAAGUCCCUCCUGAUUUUAUCAGCAAAUUUAUCACCAGCAUCAGCUGAGGCCAAGGAGUGUGACCAGCCAUAGAGGAAGAUCUGCCCUCUUGUCUCUUUUUCUUAGAAAUCAUUUAUUUGGGUUUUGUAAAAACAUUUUGGUUCUCAUAGGCAUUAUUUGGAUGAAAAUUAGGGUAGUCACUUGAUUAAAAGUAACAUAAAUGCACCUGUUUCCAACAAAAAUGCCACAUAUCAUGAUUUCACUAAAAAUAUGGGUGAUCCUCAUUAUAAAUCUCACUAUGUGAGCUUCAUUGGUGGUCUCUGUGCUUAUGCAUGCACAGGUGGCUAAAUCCUGGCCAGGAUCAAAAUGGAAAUUCCAGUUGAUGUUUUCAAAUACUACCUGAAAAAGUCUCUUCCCCUCAGUGUUCAGUGUCUCUGCUGGGAAUUCCAAAGGAUGGCAGAAAUCAUUUCAUAAGGGAAACAACGUGGAGACUCGCUGCUCAAGAACAAGGAAAGAUGAUCACUUCUUAAACACAGGUAGGAAAUGAAACAGGAAAGCUAUCAGAUCCAGACUUCCUCCAUGAAUAGAGGUUACCAAAACAAACACACACACACACACACAUAAAAAA